rnacentral:rRNA from 1 species
UCGAGCGGAAGGCCCUUCGGGGUACUCGAGCGGCGAACGGGUGAGUAACACGUGAGUAACCUGCCCCAGACUUUGGGAUAACCCUCGGAAACGGGGGCUAAUACCGGAUACGACGCGCUCUCGCAUGGGAUGCGUGUGGAAAGUUUUUCGGUUUGGGAUGGGCUCGCGGACUAUCAGCUUGUUGGUGGGGUGAUGGCCUACCAAGGCGACGACGGUUAGCCGGCCUGAGAGGGCGACCGGCCACACUGGGACUGAGACACGGCCCAGACUCCUACGGGAGGCAGCAGUGGGGAAUAUUGCACAAUGGGCGGAAGCCUGAUGCAGCGACGCCGCGUGAGGGAUGACGGCCUUCGGGUUGUAAACCUCUUUCAGCAGGGACGAAGCGAGAGUGACGGUACCUGCAGAAGAAGCGCCGGCCAACUACGUGCCAGCAGCCGCGGUAAGACGUAGGGCGCGAGCGUUGUCCGGAUUUAUUGGGCGUAAAGAGCUCGUAGGCGGCUUGUCGCGUCGACUGUGAAAACCCGCGGCUCAACCGCGGGCCUGCAGCCGAUACGGGCAGGCUAGAGUUCGGUAGGGGAGACUGGAAUUCCUGGUGUAGCGGUGAAAUGCGCAGAUAUCAGGAGGAACACCGAUGGC